UCCCUGAUGGCUCAGUGGUAAAGAAUCUGCCUGCAGUUCAGGAGACCAGGGUUUGAUCCCUGGUUUGGGAA
rnacentral:tRNA from 1 species